CCUACGGGUGGCAGCAGUGAGGAAUAUUGGUCAAUGGACGAGAGUCUGAACCAGCCAAGUAGCGUGAAGGAUGACUGCCCUAUGGGUUGUAAACUUCUUUUAUAUGGGAAUAAAACAGGGUAUGCAUACCCUCUUUUAGGUACCAUGUAAAUAAGGAUCGGCUAACUCCGUGCCAGCCACCGCGGUAAUACGGAGGAUCCGAGAGUUAUCCGGAUUUAUUGGGUUUAAAGGGAGAGUAGGUGGAUUGUUAAGGCAGUUGUGAAAGUUUGCGGCUCAACCGUAAAAUUGCAGUUGAAACUGGCAGUCUUGAGUACAGUAGAGGUGGGCGGAAUUCGUGGUGUAGCGGUGAAAUGCUUAGAUAUCACGAAGAACUCCGAUUGCGAAGGCAGCUCACUGGACUGCAACUGACACUGAGGCUCGAAAGUGUGGGUAUCAAACAGGAUUAGAUACCCCAGUAGUC
rnacentral:rRNA from 1 species